CACGUAGGGUGCGAGCGUUGUCCGGAAUUAUUGGGCGUAAAGAGCUCGUAGGCGGUGUGUCGCGUCGGCCGUGAAAACCUGCAGCUUAACUGUGGGCUUGCGGUCGAUACGGGCAUCACUGGAGUUCGGCAGGGGAGACUGGAAUUCCUGGUGUAGCGGUGAAAUGCGCAGAUAUCAGGAGGAACACCGGUGGCGAAGGCGGUUCUCUGGGCAUUACCUGACGCUGAGGAGCGAAAGCAUGGGGAGCAAACAGG
rnacentral:rRNA from 1 species